ACGACAGCGAUGAGCAGGAGUAGUAGGUCGUUUGAGUACAGAGAGUAGCCGGGUGGUGUGAGGCUAUACAUCAGACUGAACUCGCCUGUGAGCUACAAGUGUCAAAUGGUGCACUGGUAAAUAAUUACCAGGCAAGCUGAGAGCACUUGUCGGGACGCCCGAUAUAGCGUAUAAUGAGAGUAAGUCAGAGACAAGCCGUUUCUUUACCUGGGCCUGUAGCGCAGCUGGUAGAGCGUCUCCAUGGCAUGGAGAAGGUCAGGAGUUCGAGUCUCCUCAGGUCCACCAGUUUUACCCCUUGUCUUGAUUGAAAAGCAGGGUGGUACCACGGAAACAACCUUUCGUCCCUUGG
rnacentral:ncRNA from 1 species